UAAGGAAUAUUGGUCAAUGGACGCAAGUCUGAACCAGCCAUGCCGCGUGAAGGAUUAAGGCCCUCUGGGUUGUAAACUUCUUUUAUAGGGGAAGAAAUGUGACGGUUCUCCGUCACUUGACGGUACCCUGGGAAUAAGCACCGGCUAACUCCGUGCCAGCAGCCGCGGUAAUACGGAGGGUGCAAGCGUUGUUCGGAGUUACUGGGCGUAAAGAGUGCGUAGGCGGUUUUCUAAGUUCGGUGUGAAAUCUCCCGGCUUAACUGGGAGGGUGCGCCGAAGACUGGGAAGCUGGAGUGUGGGAAAGGCAGGCGGAAUUCCUGGUGUAGCGGUGAAAUGCGUAGAUAUCAGGAGGAACACCGGCGGUGUAGACGGCUUGCUAGACCAUAACUGACGCUGAGGCACGAAAGCGUGGGUAGCAAACA
rnacentral:rRNA from 1 species